CCUGGCCCACAAUAGCCCAAGCCACCCUCCCAGUACCAAGCACCGCACUCCAGUCUCCUCUUCUGGUCACAUAUUCACACCAGGCCUGCUUAGCCAGCCACCGUCCACACUCUCGGUCACACUCGCCCUCCCUGCCUCUCAGCACCCUCCCCAGCCAUCACACCAGCACCCUUGUACCCCACGCCCCCAGGAUCACUUCAAUCUCCAUCUCUUUAUUGCUGUUACGUCUACCUUCAGUUUCUCUCCUCUGUGGCCUCUCACUUUGCAGUAGACCCCCGUCCCAAUGGAGACCCUGCAGCAGCUGCACUGGCUCAUGAGGACUGCCCCGCCAUUGACCAGCCAGCCAUGUCUC
rnacentral:lncRNA from 1 species